rnacentral:rRNA from 1 species
CGGUGGAGCAUGUGGUUUAAUUCGAAGCAACGCGAAGAACCUUACCAGGCCUUGACAUGCAGUAGAACUUUCCAGAGAGUGGAUUGGUGGCCUUCGGGAACUCUGACACAGGUGCUGCAUGGCUGUCGUCAGCUCGUGUCGUGAGAUGUUGGGUUAAGUCCCGUAACCGAGCGCAACCCUUGUCCUUAGUUACCAGCACGUUAUGGUGGGCACUCUAAGGAGACUGCCGGUGACAAACCGGAGGAAGGUGGGGGACGACGUCAAGUCAUCAUGGCCCUUAUGUCCUGGGCUACACACGUGCUACAAUGGCCGGUACAGAGUGAAGCGAAACCGCGAGGUGAAGCAAAACGCAGAAAGCCGGUCUCAGUACGGAUUGGAGUCUGAAACUCGACUUCAUGAAGUUGGAAUCGCUAGUAAUCGCGCAUCAGCAUGGCGCGGUGAAUACGUUCCCGGGCCUU